rnacentral:lncRNA from 1 species
AAAGCUCAAAAGUAUUGAGUAAAUCUUUGAAUAUGUGAGUAUAAAAUUUACACUGCACUUUUGAGUGGGCAUAAUAUGUAAAAAGAGUAAAAGCUAAAUCUCAAAAUCCAUCUACUGACUUAUCAUUCACAAUAUCAGUCAAAAACACUUUUCAUUUGCACAAGAGUGAUUCUUCAAUCUCCUUUUUUAUUACAUUUAUCACCUAAACAAUUUCAAUAGCAUUAGGAGAUACCACCUGGGUUUAGGUUUGAGGGUUUGUUCGUAAACUUCUAUUGGCGAAAGUGGUAGCAACAUGCAUAUACUAAAUUGCAUUCAAAUUUUAAUCCAUAUUUAACUUGUUCGAAUCAUAUUUAACUAGUAAAUUAACAAACACUUCGUACUACAGUAAAAAUUGACAUAAAAAAUUUGCGCAUUCGGA